AGCCCCAUAGUCUAGCGGCCAAGGAUGCGAGCCUCUGGAGCUCGAGACCAGAGUUCGAAUCUCUGUGGGGCUA
rnacentral:tRNA from 2 species